UAGUAGUCAGAGAUAUCCGAGUUCAUUGAAAGUUGAAUAACCGACAUUAAACGGCCCCAGAAGCGGGCGGCGGCCGCCUUGUAAUUCUCCUUUAAAGUGAAAUGCAGUUUACAGUGAUUACGAAGGAAAAAGAGAAAGAGAGAGAGAGAGAGAGGGAGAGAGAAGCGCGCGGCAGCAAUUAAAUAGUACGUUUCUGAUGUUGCUACUUAUUAUUAAACUCGCGAGCGAGUGAGCGAGUCAACCAGUUGACUUUAAACCACACAAUAAAUUAGUCUUACAGUGAAUUACGCCCAAAUAUAUAACACGUGCGAAACCGAGAACUGGAAUGUCUCAUAAUAUGAUCAAGGCCAAAACAAUUUUACGCUCUCCUCGUCGCAACACAUGCCGCAUUAAAAAGUGACAAUCCCAAUGGUGCAGGCAACAGAUCUUUUCACAAAAGAGAUUUCAUCGGAAAAACUGUGAAGGUAAUUUAUACUUCUUUGGAGAUACUUUUCAUUCCGUUAUGGCAAUUAUUGUAAUAUCUUUGUUCACUCUGCCGAGUGAAUUGAUUGGCGUGACUUUGGAUGACUUCACGAUCUGAAAGAGGUUAAAGUAUGACUCGACGUGAUUUGAAGUUACGUGAGUACGGCUAAAUGCGUAUGCUGUUUGUGUUAUAUGGCUGCUUCUUGUACGUCCUUCGGGAAAAAAGGAAAGACACAAAAGAGAUGACGACGAAAAAAAAAAAAAAAAAACAACAGCAGAACCGCCGACAGAUAUGGAGGUAAAUACGGGUGCUAUCAGAACCUCAAUUGUUAAGCAACUGAAAUUUUGAAUUUCUUCGACAAAACGCCUUAGCAGUAACCUUUCGUGGCUACAGAUAGGCGAUAAAAUAUCUCGUUGGCACAUUUGAAGAGGUGAUUUGGAAAAUGUUAUAAUAUAUAUUUAAAAAGUGUCUGUAUUGUGAAAAUUAUUCAGCAAUUUUUUCUUAAUUGUUCCUUGAAUAUCAAAUCGCACAAAUGUCAUCAUUCAAGACCUCCACCGCUGCGGUUUGCAGGGACGAAUUCAGACGAACCAUAUAUAUAUAUAUGUAUAUAUAGGAAAAGUCUUACGGAGUAUUUUCUCACGCUAAUAACGAACUGAUCUCGAGAUUUGUAGCAAUAAUUCGUAACUCUACAAAAUAAUAGAGGUCCCUGACAACGGUGCAAGUACAACACGGCGCUAGCUGAACAGAAAAUGAGAUUUUCAAAUCUACAGCAGGUAUUAUUACGCAUAUCAUUAUACUCAGGUAUGUAUAAAGGUAUGACUGAUAUUCUCUCAUCGUCAACAGUCAUAAUAACUAACAAUGAGUUAUUAUAUAUAGAACGGAUUGUCAUUCGGAUUGUGGUAGCGGUCACCACGCCGAAACUCUCCCCC
rnacentral:lncRNA from 1 species